CAGUUGAAGCCCCAGAAUGCUGCCCCUGGCAACCACCAGCAAUUGGCUGGAGUGAACACGUUGGAUGAAACCAAGCAGCACACCAGAGUAGAUGUUUCUAUAACUGACUCCAGACCUUCUCACUCCAUAAGUCUAUUCCUCACUGGUACUCGCAGCACCAUGGCCAGGCUGACAAAGGACAUCCAAUGGUCUCGCAUCAUCUUUCACUACAAAGGACGCCCAUCCCAUCACUCAGUGACAAGGGCCCGAGGAGUCGAUAACCUGAGCUCCAUUCUGGUUUCACACCCAAGGCAGCCCAGGGACAUCUCCUCUGAACAAAUAUCAACCUGGAGUCACACCACUCUGCAAAACAGGGAGCAGGCUUUGUAGAGAGGAGAGGAGCCCCAGCCCCUGUGAGUGGCCACUGUUCACGGCACUUCAGUGACAUGAGAAGAGCAGACUCCCUAUAAUGAACAAUUCUGGCCAACCAAG
rnacentral:lncRNA from 1 species